rnacentral:rRNA from 1 species
UCUCAUCCAGUUGACCUCGGAUCAGGUAGGAAUACCCGCUGAACUUAAGCAUAUCAAUAAGCGGAGGAAAAGAAACCAACAGGGAUUGCCUCAGUAACGGCGAGUGAAGCGGCAACAGCUCAAAUUUGAAAUCCGGCGCAAGCCCGAGUUGUAAUUUGCAGAGGAUGCUUCGGGCGCGGCGCCUUCCAAGUCCCCUGGAACGGGGCGCCACAGAGGGUGAGAGCCCCGUCAGGUCGGCCGCCAAGCCCGUGUGAAGCUCCUUCGACGAGUCGAGUAGUUUGGGAAUGCUGCUCUAAAUGGGAGGUAGACCCCUUCUAAAGCUAAAUACCGGCUAGAGACCGAUAGCGCACAAGUAGAGUGAUCGAAAGAUGAAAAGCACUUUGAAAAGAGGGUUAAACAGUACGUGAAAUUGUUGAAAGGGAAGCGCUUGGGAUCAGACGUGCGCCGGGCGCUCAGCGGGCGUUCUCGCCCGUGCACUCGCCCCGGCGCAGGCCAGCGUCGGCUCGGGAGGGGGGACAAAGGCGGCAGGAACGUGGCUCCCCCGGGAGUGUUACAGCCUGCCGCGCCAUGCCCCCGCCCGGGCCGAGGUCGCGUCCG